AGUGCAAUAGGCUGAUACAGUCAAGCACUUUCUGAUCUUGCCUACUGGAGCUGUCAGCCUAGAUAAUUGGGUACCUUCCUGUCCGCACAACAAUUUUGGGUUAUUAGGCAUGCCCUGACAGUACCUGGAAAUCUGCUUGCAGAACAUACCUGAGACUUCUCCUGCUUGAACACAGUCCCACUCUGAAAGUUGCCAAAUAUUACCUAACCCGGAUAGUGGCUAUCAUGGAAAAGUGCUGACUAUCAUCUUGGACCCUAUAAAUAUUGGUCUCAAGGGGGAUGCCCCCUGGAACUCUCUGGGAUUGCACUGAGCUGCACCUGCAUCAAGCAACUCAUGAAGGAAGCUGCUUCAUCCAAUCGAAAGAGACAAGCUGCAAGGCAAACACAGAAAUCACUGAAGUGAAUUAGACUGGAAACUAUCUUCUACAGAGGCCAAAUCUUCUCACAUAUUUCUACCCUACCAGACAGAGCUAGGCCCUGACCCUCCACUUGAAGUCUCUCAACGAAGCUGAAAUCACCAGCUGCCAAAAGCUGAAGGGAGAAAAAACAUAGUGAUUUUGUACAAUCUAGAAGGAAGACAACAUAAAAUGUACCUGUGAUGAAUCCGGUUAAGUCUUCCCAAAGGUAAGAGAAGUUGCAAGAUUUCUUUAGGGUAGUGAUAAGUAGGCUAUAAGAAUCUCUGUGUAAUUAUUUGGGUGAAGCCAGAGUAGUGUCCCCACCAAAGGCUUUUAUGACCCCAUUCAGCUCAAUUUUACAUGGCAAAAUUUCUCUGGUGCUGAUUGAUUUAUGUAUUAUAGAAGAGCCAGCAAAUUAACUCAGUAGGGAGACAAAAGUGAAGAAAGCAAGGAAGAAUCAGAAACAUAGCCAGAACAAGUACUGGUAGCUACUCUUCAGAAAUGCCUUUAAAGACAUUUAUGGGAUGAAUACUCCCAGAGGAGAGCUUAUAAGUGUCACCAAAAAAGUGGUUUCUAACAAGUUUCUGCUGCAUGAGGGGAAACUGGAUUUUGCAUAUGCCUUUUAAAUAAACAGGAUGGAAACAAAGACACUCUCUUCCACAGCGAGCUACAGUUUAUUUUCCUGUUGGAUCCUACCCAAAAGAUAUUUCAUGCCAUGGAAAGACUGCCAUUUAUUUCAGUUCCAGUGGAUGUUGUCCGUAGGCCCCAGUCAGAGGCUUCCUAUUGCACCCAUCUUAAUGCAACACUUGCAGAGGAAGAUGUAGCUUGGCCUUCAUCUGCCCCACUGCAGGUCUAGCUUGCACUUAACAGGAAUGGCUCCCAGAGCUAUAGCAGGGAAACAGUGUAAUUUCUUACCCAUAUUUUGCCCACAGAGAUCAAUAUUUAGUUUCCUUCCAGGCUGUAAAGUGUUCUAAGGCAGAGAUUUUAAAAUCAGUACGCCUUUCCUUAUCAGUAGCUAUAAUUUUCUAUAUACAGCUCUACCCAAGAUGUCAGAAAGUGAAGUACGUACUUAUGUCUUUAAGCUGAAUUCUGUUAAAUUAAGCCCAUGUCCAGGGGCUUUACUAUCUAGGUAGAGUGUGUAAAUAAAUAAUAUAUAUAAAGUGCAUAAAGGAAUAAUGACAAUGUUGAAAAUAAUUUGCUCUCAGGCUCAGAACUAAGCAAACUAAGAAAUGUAGAUGGAAAAUAGUUCCUGGGUUUGACACAGCUUUUACUGGGGAUUAGAAUCCUAGUAACACCUAGUCAGUGAUAUAAAACAAGCAACACGGUGUCUAAUUUAGGAAAAGAUACCAGAUGUGAGGAAAACUGCUGGAGGAAAUGGUGUUCAGGAGGAAAGUGUAGUACAACCGAUGAUUUUAAAUCUUUUUGUGCGUGUUUAUAUUUUACCUUUAAAGCUAAAGCUAGUAAGUAGCAGGGUUAGCUGUCAGGCCAGCAAUGCACUAAGCAGCUGCAGUGGCAGAGCAGCACACACCAAGCUCUGUGGACGUCAGAGCCUGCAGCGUGUGAAGCAGACACAUCUCAUCACACCACAGCCUGCUACAGCUCCAAAGGAGCCACUACAUCCCCCGCACCUCUGAGCGAUGAUGUAUUUAUACAGCGAACCCUCGCAGCUCCAAAGGAUAUCCCAGCACUACUGCUUUAUCCAGCGUGCAUCCAGGAUGAACCCAGCCUAAGGCACAAGUGAAUGCCAGAAUCCUGCCCUGCAUGUUGGAGGCUUGCCUUCUCUUUACCCCUUGUCAUAUUGGAAGUGGUCUGCACAGACUGAUUUCAGCCUUCUUUUAUCAUGACAACAGACACAGAAAUGAUCAAAGAAACCAUAAAGCAAGUGCUUACUAAGAUGCCUUCUGCAGCUGACCUACAUUUCACCCAUCAUAAAUCUGAUUUCUGGAAAAAAUAAAAUUAUGACACUUCCUGGAAACCUAAACAUUCGCAAUUUG